ensembl:lncRNA
CAGAGUCCAAGAGUGUGGUGCUGAAAGCUGAGGACGCUUUGCAGACCUGCCCAAGACAUCCUCUGCCUGCUGCUGCCUUUCCUUCCUUGGCUCCGCUCCCCCCGCCCCUGCAGUUCCUUCCCUGCACCUUUAAGAAGCACAUGGCUCGCCGGUGGGAUGCUGUGGUAAAGCUCCACAGAGGAAGUUACGCAGCCUGGAUCAGGCACUGAGAUAAAAGCAACGACUGUGAUUGAAAGUGAUGGCAAAAGGAUUUGAGCCUCGGUAUUAACUUGCGAGAGAGGAGGAGGGAGAUUUCAUAAAGCUCCCGGCCAUCUGCCCUUGAGCUCCAGGCGGGGACUGGGCUGGUCCUGCCUGCGAAGAGGGGGACCCAGCCAGGCGCGCGGAUGAGCCUUUCGAUUUGUGUUUCUGUUUUUGGAGGGGUGGGGGGCGGGGAACGGGCGGGGAUGUUGGCGGUCAGAAAAAGUUAAACUUCUAUCCUGCUCCGGGCCCCCCCUGGAGACGGGGGGCAGGGGGCUGAAAUUCCUACACCCCCCCCCCCCAGUCCCUCUGCUCCCCCCCAGCCGCCCGCUCUGCCGAGCCCAGGGACGCUGCCCGGGCAGGUUGGUCCUAGCCGAGGGGUGGGGGAGCAGCCUUCCCCAUCCAGCCGGGAGGAGAGGACGCGUGUGCAUCUGCCGCCUGGCACGGAGCUCCGGCGGAACCUCCCUUGCCGCACCGGCUCCAGGAGCGCCGAGCCCCGGGAUGGGAAGGACUGUUUGGAGAGGAUGACUUGUUACCAACCCAUCGCUCCCACGGCGGCUUUUCCCGGGUGUUUGGGCAAGAGAUUAACAGUCCAGCAGUUUUUAAAGGUGUGAAGUUAUAGUGUGGCUCACUUCAGUAUAUUCUAUCAAACUUCUCCGUCCGCCUUGCCCAUCCCCUCCCCUCCCCAGCUCUGCCUUGACUGGCUGCUUUGCAUGCUCACAUUUAAUAUGUAUAAAAUAGAGCUCUGAUUUGUUUGGAAAAUACACAAAGUAGCAGGAAACAAACAAAACCUCUCUUAGAUUUCUCCUGCAGUUCGCUUCCUGGCUUUUAUGAAGAAAGUGCACCUAUGCAGUAAUUUGUUUGCCUGCCUACGUUUAGGCAGCUGUUAAAUGGUUUACUCUGCUCUGCUUAUUGUAAAGAGAUGAUGCAUUGAUUUUUGCGAUUAGGGGAGGCUUUGCAAAACUAUAAGGACACAUAAAGCUCAAGUGCAAUAUUAUCUGGACAAAUAUUUUUAAAAGCCUUACAUUAUUAUUGAUUGCACCCAACUUUCUGCAGGAAAACUUUUAUGAAAUUAACCAGUAUUUUGGAAUUUUCAGUGCCUGCAGUUUUCCCUAUCUGACAGAGAUGUAAGGUAGAGACUAACAGCAAAGUCCCCUGGUAACAAGCGCUAAUUUCCAAACAAAUUGUUUGGAGCUAUUUUCCUCCACCUUCUUUUUCUAAAGUUAGUUGUACAGUCCUUGCAAAGUACACUCUUGAUUAUUUCUCAAGCUUUCAUCCUUCUUGUGCCAAGGAAGUGGUGUUUUCUCCACUUAAAUUUUUUUUUUAGAGUUUCAAAAUAAGUGAUGCAAAGCUAGAGAUCAUCAUAUUACAUUGACAUCUAAUUUCCUAUUUUGCCUGCUUUCUGACAGUAGUCCUUGAAUGAUCUCAAAGUCCUUAUGUAAAAGAAACUUUACAAAGAGUAAGAAAGAAAAAAAAAAGCAGCAUCAAUUUAUGUGGAACCACAAAUGCAUUAAGGAUAGCAGCUAAAUGUGAGUGAGAUUUGCAGUCUUUCUGUUGGGAAUAUGAUUCCUCUCUGAGCUUUGCAACAUCAUGUGCCUGCCAUAUUACGUGCUGAGGGUAUAUUUUCUAACUUUGCUUUUUAGAAUGAAUUAAAAGGGUGGUAUUAUUACUCCAAAAAAGAGAGAGAGGGGAUUAAAAAAAUCUCCUUGCACACAGUGUGUCAGUCAUUUUUUGAUUUUUAUAGUUCCAGGUGACACUUCUGGAAAGAACAUUGAGAAGUCCAUCAAGUUUACUUUCUGUACUUAAUUCCAGAGCAGUGUUUUGUGACUCAAAGUGUUGUCUUGUUAUUUCGAUAAAGGGUUGAUCCAAUAAAAAAGAGAGAGCUAAGUCCA